rnacentral:pre_miRNA from 2 species
GGAAAGUUAGAAACUACCGUUGGAUCGAAAAAUAGACGUUCGAGAUUCGACCACGUCAUCAUUAGUAAACAUUUUACUCAUAGAUUUACUCAUGAGUAGUAAAAUUUUUUACUCAUGAUGACGUGGACAAAUCUCGGAUGUCCAUUUUUUGAUCCAACGUUAGUUUCCAAGUUUUA